UAGGGAAUCUUCCACAAUGGACGAAAGUCUGAUGGAGCAACGCCGCGUGAGUGAUGAGGGGUUUCGGCUCGUAAAACUCUGUUGUUGGAGAAGAACGGGUGUCAGAGUAACUGUUGACAUCGUGACGGUAUCCAACCAGAAAGCCACGGCUAACUACGUGCCAGCAGCCGCGGUAAUACGUAGGUGGCAAGCGUUGUCCGGAUUUAUUGGGCGUAAAGCGAGCGCAGGCGGUUUUUUAGGUCUGAUGUGAAAGCCUUCGGCUUAACCGGAGAAGUGCAUCGGAAACCGGGAGACUUGAGUGCAGAAGAGGACAGUGGAACUCCAUGUGUAGCGGUGAAAUGCGUAGAUAUAUGGAAGAACACCAGUGGCGAAGGCGGCUGUCUGGUCUGCAACUGACGCUGAGGCUCGAAAGCAUGGGUAGCGAACAGGAUUAGAUACCCUGGUAGUCCAUGCCGUAAACGAUGAGUGCUAAGUGUUGGAGGGUUUCCGCCCUUCAGUGCUGCAGCUAACGCAUUAAGCACUCCGCCUGGGGGAGUACGACCGCAAGGUUGAAAC
rnacentral:rRNA from 1 species